AACGAACGCUGGCGGCAGGCUUAACACAUGCAAGUCGAACGCCCCGCAAGGGGAGUGGCAGACGGAUGAGUAACGCGUGGGAACCUACCUUUUGGUACGGAAUAACUCAGGGAAACUUGAGCUAAUACCGUAUAAGCCCUGACUUUUAAUCGGGUCUGGGGAAAGAUUCAUCGCCAAAGGAUGGGCCCGCGUCGGAUUAGCUAGUUGGUGGGGUAAUGGCCUACCAAGGCGACGAUCCGUAGCUGGUCUGAGAGGAUGAUCAGCCACACUGGGACUGAGACACGGCCCAGACUCCUACGGGAGGCAGCAGUGGGGAAUAUUGGACAAUGGGGGCAACCCUGAUCCAGCCAUGCCGCGUGAGUGAUGAAGGCCUUAGGGUUGUAAAGCUCUUUCGCCGGUGAAGAUAAUGACGGUAACCGGAGAAGAAGCCCCGGCUAACUUCGUGCCAGCCGCCGCGGUAAAAC
rnacentral:rRNA from 1 species